AAUAAAGUAAAAAUCUAACCCCAUAAAAAGAGAGUUUAACUACACAUGGUAGCAAUACAUAUGAAGUAGAAAUAUAAUAGCAUCAAAUGAUCUCUCAAUCUUUAACUAAUUCUAAUUAUGCAUGCCUACAAUGUAUAACCCCUCUCAACACUUUUUAAUCAUUAGCACUUGAAAUAAAAUAAAAGAAACUAAAACAUUUAUAAAAUAUGAUAACUCUAAUGUCUACCUUGGCUUCCUAUUUAUAUGCUUAAGAUCAGUCCUCAUUCGUCCGGCGAAAUGUGGCUCACACAAUAAAAUCACCUUUUUUCCUGCUUCAUUUGUACUAAAGCAACAUUGAUCACCUUCUUAACCUCCAUAAAUUUGUUGGGAGGAUUUUCGCUCGUCCAAAAAUUUUCCCUAAUUUUGGAUCUUAAACUCUCUGUUCUAAUUCGAAUGGUUGAAGAUAAUUCUCCAAAUAAAUUGACUUGUUUGCCCAAUUUUUUUAUUUUUUGCAGAUACUGAAUCUUUAAGAAUUGAGUUCCUUGCUCCAUUUUGGCUUAUCUUUUGAUAAUUUCUUCUAUGUUAUACAUCCUUUAUACCAAAACAUUAAAAAGAAUAUAAAAUAGGAUAAAUGCAUUAUUUCAGAAUAAUUCAUUAUUUGCAUAUAAAUUGAGAGUUUUCUAUGUUACUUCAUGUGCAAGUAAGCUAGUAAGUGCGAGAAUUUGAUAUCUAAAACAUGUAAAUUACACACUUAUCUAUGACCUAUCUCGGAAUUAGUUUAGAUAUAAAGACCAAUAUUAAAGAGUGUGAAAUUUUGUUCUUCGAAUGACAAGAUAUCAGACACAAUGUUGUAACAAUGUGUAUGACAAGUUAUAUGUAUAAUAGACAGAAUAAAUGCAAAAUAUAAAUAACAUAAGAAUUAGUAACCCAGUUCGAUUCAAAUUAUCUACAUCUGGAGGGAGUUAACCCAGGAAAGAAAAUUCAUUCUUAAUAGUCAGAAGUGCAAAGUUAUAUUAGUUGAACUCUCCUUGAUCAAUUCCAAUUUUCCUAAUACUGCCUUGUCAUACCCUAAUUUUGGCCCAUCAUUUCUCUAGUUUUUAAUUUAUUUUGCAUUGCAUCUCUUGCAUUUUUAGGUCUAGGUCAAUUUGAGCGUAUGAUCAAUUUGACCAUGAUUCCCCAUUUCAUCUAUUUUGUUUUGCAUAAUAAGGUCAUCUUUUUGGGGCCUUUGGCCAUUGCUAUUCAUGCUAGCUCUAUACAUUAUUCAAGUUAGAAUUUUGAGUCAUUAAGACUAGUUUUUUUUAAUAAAGCUUUGCAUCUUACUAUAGUUUGUUCUUAUCAUUUCUUCAUGACAUCAUCAUAUUAUCCACAUCACUUGUAAUACCAUUAUCGUCAUUUUUCCAAAAGGCCAAAAAUGAUUAAAGUAGAAAGCUCAAAGUUAUAAGUUUCAUUUUUAUGUCAUCAAUAUUUUAAGUGCCAUAUACCAUUCCACAGUGCAUUUAGGCCAUGCUAAUUGAAGUACAAUGAAAAGAAAUAAGUUAAUUAGAUUUGAAUGUGGCUAUUUCAAUUGAAUUAGUCUUGCAUUACAUAACCCCUUCCAUACCCAUUAGCAUUUACACACAUAUGUAACAAAAUUGAGAAUUAAUUGGAUAACUUUUAUUGCAUUCACAACACAACAUACAUCAUCAAAUGGUUUGAAAUAUAAUUUUACCAAUAAGUACUAGUCCAUACAUCAUAUUACAUAUAUUAUUAAUUAAAUAAACAAACAAACAAACAAAAAAUGAGUUUACCUUAUGAUGAAACACGACUCUCAUGUUGAUACAACCAUCCUUCUCAUCUCAACAGUGACAUCAUUCUCAUGCCUUGUAUAUCAUCUUCUCAACUUUUCCAUCACAUCCAUACCCCUCCAAUUCAUCAUUCCAUCACACAUCCUGCAACAUUCAUACAUCAAAUAAAACAAAAUUAAACAAAUUGAAAGGAAGUGGAAUUAUAGAGGACACGAGUUUUCUGUUACUACUAGCAUACCAUCAACAACCUCCCUAACAUACAUUCACAACAUCCAUACAUAACCAACUAAUUUUAAUUAAAUUGAAAAGUGCAAAAAAGAGAAACAAAUUCAAGGAAGUGGAAAACUUGUGCUUCUAUCAUACAUCAUUAUACCACACAUCAUCAAACAAUCCAUCACAAACACAUACGAAUUUCUCCACACAAUAUAUCACAUGCCAUCAAAAUUCAUCUUAACUCACAUUUUUUCACCUCACACAAUCCACUCCUUCCCAAAUUUACAAGGAUCACAAUUCCCCACCCUUUAAAUGAUUCCCUAACAAACUUCAUUUCCCCCUCAAAAUUGGCUCACACGUUUGAUCACAUCACUUCACUCCCCACUAUAAAACAACAUCGCUACAACAUACCAAUGACAUGAAAAA
rnacentral:lncRNA from 1 species